rnacentral:rRNA from 1 species
GACCUCAAAUCAGGUAGGGCUACCCGCUGAACUUAAGCAUAUCAAUAAGCGGAGGAAAAGAAACUAACAAGGAUUCCCCUAGUAGCGGCGAGCGAAGCGGGAUGAGCUCAAAUUUGUAAUCUGGCGUCCCCUGGGCGUCCGAGUUGUAAUCUAUAGAAGCGUUUUCCGUGCCGGACCGUGUCCAAGUCCCUUGGAACAGGGUAUCAAAGAGGGUGACAAUCCCGUGCUUGACACGACGACCGGUGCUCUGUGAUACGCUCUCUACGAGUCGAGUUGUUUGGGAAUGCAGCUCAAAACGGGUGGUAAAUUCCAUCUAAAGCUAAAUAUUGGCGAGAGACCGAUAGCGAACAAGUACCGUGAGGGAAAGAUGAAAAGCACUUNNNNNNNNNNNNNNNNNNNNNNNNNNNNNNGUUGAAAGGGAAACGAUUGAAGUCAGUCGUGUCGGGAGGAUUCAGCCGGCCCUGCCGGUGUACUUCCUCCCGACGGGUCAACAUCAGUUUCGUCCGGCGGAUAAGGGCGGCGGGAAGGUAGCACCCUCGGGUGUGUUAUAGCCCGCUGUCGCAUACAUCGGUCGAGACUGAGGAAUGCAGCUCGCCUCUAAUGGCCGGGGUUCGCCCACGUCCGAGCUUAGGAUGUUGACAUAAUGGCUUUAAACGACCCGUCUUGAAACACGGACCAAGGAGUCUAACAUAUCUGCSAGUGUUUGGGUGUCAAACCCGGGCGCGUAAUGAAAGUGAACGUAGGARGGAUCCGCAAGGAGCACCUUUGACCGAUCUGGAUCUUCUGUGAUGGAUUUGAGUAAGAGCAUAUAUGCUGGGACCCGAAAGAUGGUGAACUAUGCCUGAAUAGGGCGAAGCCAGGGGAAACUCUGGUGGAGGCUCGUAGCGAUUCUGACGUGCAAAUCGAUCGUCAAAUUUGGGUAUAGGGGCGAAAGACUAAUCGAACCAUUU